CAGGGAGAGACCCUUUGCCCCCUUUUACCUCUUAUGAACUAUUUUAUGUAAAGUUCUUAGUUCUGGAAGGCGUGACCUCUAGACCACAUCUUCAGGACUGUGAAUGGUGAGCUUGUACACCUGUUUAUGAUGAACUUGUACACCGUGAAUGGUGUGCUUGUGCACCUAUGAAUGACGAGCUUGUACACUGUGAAUGAUGAACUUGUGCAUCAAGGGAAGCUGCCUCAAACAUUCAGACAUUCUCAUUAUGACCCCAAGAGAAGAGAUAGGAGAAGUACCUCACUCAGAAUCACAUAGCUGGUCACCAUGAUCUAACUGAAUUUUGAAUCCAAGUUUGCACGAUUUCAAAGUAUGCCUCUCUGCUCUGUUGCCACCUGAAAAGGAGGCUCAGAGUUCCAGGAAUCGUGAUGGAUAUCCAUUUUCCCCAAAGAAUGAACUUGGCAAGUGACACCAAUGUUCCCCUGCCAUCAGCUCACUUUUGGGUGGCUUUCCAAGUGCCAGGCAUCCCCCUGGGUGGUCUCAACAUCCUAAAGUAUUUCUGACAGUGGAGCACUCAUUGGCAAAGAAAAGCUCGCCCCCAAUUCCUACACUGGACAGACCCUGUAGGAACUUUAUUUCCAAGUCUAAGGAGCAGCGAAAGAAAAUGAAAAGGCAUCAGGGCUACGGGAGCUUACAUCCCGGGGAGGGAGCAUCACCGCUCCCACCUCCCCACAUGGGCUGGGAAUUGCAUUUGUGUUUAAUAACAACUUUGAUCCCUCUGCCAGUGCAGCGGUCAUUGAGAAAUCCUGACAUAAAGAAGGUAUCUGGGAGAUAAAGUUCUGCAAGCGAUGAUUACUAGCACUUAAGUUCUCUUUUUGUUGAAAGGAAGAAUCCCAGAAUGAACAGUGCAUUGAAUGAUAUGACAAGCAAGUACUUGAUCCCUGUCCAGCUGGAGGGGGAUUGUACCCAUCAGCAGCUUUUUAGCUAAGGACGUCUUUAUAUUUCCCUUCUUUGUCUGGGCCUCUCUAGUUCCUCCUUUUACUUCAUGUCAGCACUAUAUAGUAGGUAUGCCAAGUGGUUUUGAAAUUUAAAUUACAGUCUCUUUUUCAGAUGUUAUUGGAAAGAACAUGUAAUUUAUAACCACGUGUUAGGAGUACAGGAUGUUCAUGGUCCACUGCCAAUUUUUCUUUUGUAAAGUUAAUAAAACUUUCAUAAAACACUUAUACACUUGUAUAUUUCAUGGUAAAGAUUUUUUUUAUCUCAUAGGCUAAUGUAAAGAUUUAUUAAAACCAUUUUUUUGUUAAGAGGAGUGUCAAUAGUUUGCAGCUGAGUGUAAUUUUGAAUCCGUGGAAGAUGACGGUCUGAUGGAAAAUGACAGUAACAGCUUUGUUGAUUUAGCACUAAAAAUAAAGGAGCCUUUCAAAUGAGAGAACGCUCUAAUAUCCAGAGUGGGCUAGAACGCACUCAGGCCAAUGGAGGCGAGCUGGAGGAGCCGGCCACCAGCACUCCAACCCCUGGCAAGAGCGGAGAAGGACUGGAUGGAGCCCAGGUGGGAGGGUAAGCGGCAGCCCCCCAGGGAUUAGCUGGCAGGAAGGUUCCUGUUGGGGAGGGAGGGAGGAGCCAGGGAGGAGUGUUUGGAGCCUGCAUUGACUUCUUGAGGCAGAAAACUCUGGGAUCUGCCUGUCUCUGCCGGCACUCCUAGCCCUUCUAGACCUCUCUGAGAGCAGUUAUUCCUGAAGGUCAAGUGCUACAGGAGAUGAACUAGCUCACUGUGGUCCAUCCUGCCCUCCCCUCCACUGCCGUCCACCUCCAGCAAUCCACAUCUACUCCAAACUGGUAUCUAUUGAAAAAUUAUCUGAAGGAAACUCAUUUAACUUUUUUCUGCCUAUACACCCCAGGAUCUCAGAAGACCCUUUUCUGAUUUUUCUUUCUUUUUCUUGUCUGCAACUGGUAAAUGGGUGUGCUCUCUUGAAUGGGAUUGAGCAUUGAGUCUGUAACAGAAUUCAAUAAUUUAGGGUAAGUAGACCUCUCAGAGCUUCUGUUUUCUUCUCCAUGAAAUGUGGAUGAUAACUCCUACCUCCAAGCCCCUUUAUGAGGCCCUUCUGAGAUUUUCAGUUUGCAGAGCAUAUGGAUGGACUUUGCAAACUGCAGGUAGCGGACAUGGGAACUCUUCAUCUUCCAGGUGGGAUCCCUGGUCCUUUAGAAGGAAUGGUGAAGGGGUGGCAAAACACUUGCUCAAAGACCCUCAUUCUCUCAAAUGUUGAGACAGGCUGAAUUUAUAAACAGAUUUUAAAAUUGAGAGGAAGGGAUGUUUAUUAACUGUGUGCCAUAGAUCUUUCCAUGACUAAGUGCUAUCUAUGAUCCCCAUACACAGUGAAAGUAGAACUACAAAAGGUUAACCAAUCAACCUUAGAUCACAAAACUAGCAAGAUAGCCAGGUUUCAUAUUUAGGUCAUUCUAAUGCCAAAUCUUUUUUUUCCUUCUUCUUCCCACUCCACAAUAUUAGGAGCACCAGAUGCUCUUGACUGGUUCUACAUGCUAAGUGCCAUGCUAGGCACUCUGCAAGCCUUCUCUCCUGUGAUCCCCAUGCCACUCCUGUAGAACCACUCAGGCGAGGUGGGAAUACGGGGAAGGCUGCACAGGUCAAAGUGAGUGGCCUCCAUCCUGAUCACGGCUGACCUGCCCUUUAGAGUUGUGAUCUCCCUAGAGAAGGAGCGGGUGUGCUGCUGAGGAAGGACUGCAGGGGGUGUGGGUGCCUUUGGUGAAAGUCCCCAAACUCUACCUACUUUCUUCUCCCCCAGGUGAGGGUUGGCCCCCGAGGUCUGGCUCAGGACCCUGGGUCUCUUCCCUGGCUCCUUCUCUCUACUGUCCCCUCCGGCCCCAUUCCAUUAUUCUGUCUAUUCUGCCUUCUUUUCCUUGCUCCCUCUCAAUGGAGCUGGCACCUCCCAAAGCAGCAUUUCUCCUGGUAACCCCUCUGGCAGCCCUGAGGCAAGAGCCAGACCCCUUCCUGGCUAAGGAUCGUGGUUUUCUUUGCUGGAUCUCCCUCUAGCCACCUCUCUCCCCCCAUUUACUGACCAAUUUCUAUUCCUCAUGGAGGUUUCUGCUUAAAUAUCAUUUCUUUAGGCCUUUCUUCACUCCUCUCACUAGAGGAGGCCAUCUCUUUGCACACUUUCAGAUCAUCUUGUGUUUUCUCAUCACUUCUCACAAGUAUAAGUAUAAAAUUAUUUAUUUGCUGUCCAUAUUGCCUGCUAGACCAUGAGCUCCAGGAGUCGGGGAGCCACCCCUGUCUUUUCAUUUCUGUAUUCAGUGCCCAACACAUUACUGGGUAAAUCCUCUCUGUGACCUCACACUGUUGCCAGAUCUUCCUCCCUUCCAGAUAAAAGCCCAGAGAGCCUCCUACCUCUACACCUGGCCCAAUUAGUGACUGUGCCCUGUGUCACCUGUGCAGUGUCACAAAGUUCUCUUAGUAGAGAUUCUGGGUAAUAGCCUUCACUGGUGUGCUUCUGAGGGAAGGUGCAAACUCCUAGGUGUUAGGAGGUGAGAGAGGGUGGCCCACAGCCCUGCCUCCUUCCACAUUUCAAUACCUCUGAAAUGCAGAGGCAUGGGGAGCAUUCAGCUCCUGGGAGAAAACAGAAAAGAGAAAUCAAGACUCCAGGUCGAGAAGUCCCAGAGAAACAAAGAGAAGACCCCUGCAAAGACUUUGUCAUUGUCUUUUGGGGGCAGGGACUGGGCAGUUGGGACCAGCAGGUGCACAGCCUGGAGUGUGGAUGCGGAAUUUGAGCUGAGAUGGCGCCCCUCUCCAACAGACUUGGAGAGGGCUGUGAUUCAAUUGAGCAAGCUAUUUCCAGGGUCCUGGGUUUUCUCAUGGCUGUUACUGCUAAUCUUGCCUCUGUUGUUGCUUUUAGAAUGAGGCAGUGUGGUCCAGUAACAGGGGCCACCUCUAGUGAGCACAGGAGCUAAAGCCCCAGCCUUGCCCAGAUCCUCCUAAGCAUGCUCACAGCACAACCAGGCUGAGGCCCCUUGAGUGCCAUCAGCCAGCUCCUCCGCCAAGGGCCCAGAACAGGAAGUGAUGGCAAGGCUGGAAGGCUCACCAUUCAUCUAUCUAGCUUGAGAUAAUUUAGCAGAAUGGUCAAGUGUUCAGGUUCUACAGUUAGACCUUCAGCUUAUUAACUUCGUCAUCUUGAGGAAAUUAUUUAGCAUCUCUAUAUCUUGUUAUAAUUAUAAGCAAGGCCAGUUCCAUGAGCAUUUGACCUCUGCAUCCACUUUGAUGCGCGGCUCUCACCAUCAUGGAAUUUUUCAUGAUUUUUUAACAAGAGGCCUAUAUUUUCAUUUUGAACUAGGUUUGGCCUUGCAAAUUAUGCAGCUGGUCCCUAUUAUAAAGUAAAUAUUUGUUAUAAGACUGAGGGUAAGUGGGAGUUUCUGUCAUGGUGCGGCAGAAAACAAAUUUGCCUAGGAACCAUGAGGUUGAGGGUUCGAUCCCUGGCCUCGCUCAGUGGGUUGAGAAUAUGGCGUUGCCAUGAGCUGUGGUGUAGGUCACAGACUUUGCUUGGAUCUGGCAUUGCUGUGAGUGUGGUGAAAGCCUGUAGCUCUGAUUAGACCCCUAGCCUGGGAACCUCCAUAUGCUGUGGGCGUGGCCCUAAAAAGACAAAAAAAAAAAGAGAAUGAGGGUGAGUAACGAUGAGUUAAGGCAGGUCCGUACCUGGCACACAUUAAAGGCCUAACAUUAAGGGCCAUUAUUAUUAUUGCUUCCUGGGUUAUCUACCAAGUAUUUCAUGUAGCUCCAGCUUUCUAGCAGGUGAAAGGGCAUCUCUAGGCUUUAAAAACAGUCAGGACAGGGCCUCUUUAAUCCUAAAACAGAAGUCAGGCUAAAUAAAGAAUCAGAGACCUUGGCUGGCAUCAUGGCAUAUUUCUUCAGAAAACCCAUGCAGUAUGAAUCAGGCCAGCAUGGGGCAGGCUGUGGGGAGGACACCAGGAGUCUCCUGGGUGACAGACUGCCCAAGAAUCAAGUUCAUACUUUCCUCUCCUUGUGCCCCAUUCCCAGUAACAGUGCCACUCUGCUAUACCUGCCAGCCUGAACGUGUCUGAUGCUGUUUUGCCAGACCAAUCUCUCAUCUCUGCCCUCCUGCAUCUGGGAGUCAGUGACUGGUUGCACUUCCAGCUGGGUACAUACAAGGUAGUAGAAACAGGUGGCAGAAAAUUGGCUUCACUCUUCAUUCACCUGGUUGAUAAAUUAAAAUGGCUCUGUCUCUCUCCAGGCCUCUCUAACCAUCUCAGGCUCUUCUAACAUGGGCAGCCAUGGCCAGUGGUACCUCUUUCCUUUACUCUUCUGAUCUCUUUACAUGUUAUUAAUCCAACCUCUGUCUUAACCCAAGUACUAGAAUGCCUUUGUCCAUUUGGUUCUGAGAAUAUUAUCAUUGUCACUUUGUCUCUCUGCUGUGUCCUCUAGAGAACAGAGGUCCCUUAUUGAAAGGAGGCAUUUUCUAUUGCAUUGGACCAAAAUCUGUUUUUAAACUAUUUCUUUAUUCAUAACAGCUGGAUACAUGGCACAGCCCCUAACAUUUCAUUAUGCAAUCCCAGGUAUUCUUGAACAGAGAGAAGGGGCAGGAGAAUCAGAAGGUCCCUUCCACUGUGGGGUAUCUGAAGAGCCAGGGAGGCAUAGCAGGCUAGGCUUUGCAAAAGGGCCUCUGAAAUUCAGCCUAGCACUUUUUCUUCCUGCUGCAUGAUGUUGUCUCUAUUGAAAGAUUCUCCUUCCCCAAACACAGAGUACAACAAUUCUAGUGAAUGCAUUGCCAAUGAUAAACUAUGUAUGGACAAAUAACAACAGUGACAAAACUGCACACAGAGACAAGGCAGUCUGUGUCGGGGAAGAAAGAGAAAAAUAAAUGAAAUUAACAGUGGGAGACAAAAACAGAGGAAAACCCAGCAAUUAGAUUAAUCAUAGACUUCCAGGAAAUUGGCCCAAAUUUCUUUAAAAUCUUGUUGAUUGUUAUUCAGAUUGAAGGGUUCCCUCAGCAAGAUCAGCCAGAGCCCACCAAGCUUGCAUACCAAUCUGCUGCAUCCCACAUGCAAGCUGCUCAGAUCCCACAUGCGAGCUGCUGUGUCCCUGCUACAAUGGGUCACCUGUGCAGAUGUGAAGUCCAGUGGGGUCAAGAGACAAUAUUUUUAGUCUAAGCUCUCUGGGCAACUCUCUUUGGGACUUUGAACAAAUCAUAUCACUUUCUGGACCUCAGUUUCCACAUCUGUUGAGUAAACAAGUUCUACCCUUCCUUCUUAAGUCAGUGCAUUUUGAGAGGUUGAAGAAAGAAAAUAGAUGUGAAAUUCUUGGGUAGACCAAAAGUGCCAUGAAAACAUAAUAUAAAGUAUUUUCGGAGGCAGAAAGAAAGCAGGAUAUUGCCCAAGGUUCAAACACCACCCCACUCCACGCACUGGGGUAAAGGAAGAGCACUGUGGGGCUACAUCUAGUGAGUUGCUACAAACAUGUUCCAAAGCCUUCAGAUUCAGUAAAACCCUCAGUACAUCUUGACCCAAAUAUUCCUCCCUUUUUUAUGAUCUGCAUUUAAAAGUAAAUUGAAUGACCUAUCUCUGGAUUUAUUAAUGCUUAAAUCAUUAGGAUCUUGGCUUCAGAAUGCUCCUAGAUUGCCAGAGGAACGUCAGAGCUUUUAAAUGCCUGGAGGUCGCCCUUCACCCAGGGUGAAAUAAUCCAAGCAUAAAAUGGUUUAGGUUUGGUUUGAAGGAUUGAGUGCCUGAAUUCCUCUUGGAACAGAAUUCUUCAAGUAUGACCACUUGGAGCUCAAUGUAAAAAAAAAAUAUAUAUAUAUAUAUUGGCUGUCUACUAGGUGCUAGGCUCUGUGCUAAGUGCUCUGCAUGCAUUAUUUAAUGUAAUCCUUACAACAAUCCAAUGUGGUAGAUUCUAUUAAUGUUCCUAUUUUAAGGAUGUAAAAAAAAUAGGACAACCUUAAGUAUUAUAGAAAAGAUUUUGACCAUUUUUUCUCUUGGCU
rnacentral:lncRNA from 1 species